GAUGAACGCUGGCGGCGUGCCUAAUACAUGCAAGUCGAACGAACACACGAGGAGAUUGCUGGUGUUACGUUAGGGGCGGACGAGUGAGUAAUACGUGGAUGACCGAUCUAUAAGACUUGGGUAACUUCGGGUAACCUGAGCUAAUACAGGAUAAUAUAUUGAACAGUAUGGUACAAUAGUGAACGCCGGUUGUGCUGUGACUGAUAGAUGGUUCCGCGUCGCAUUAGAUAGUUGGUAAGGUAACGGCUUACCAAGGCAACGAUGCGUAGCCGACCUGAGAGGGUGAUCGGCCACACUGGAACUGAGACACGGUCCAGACUCCUACGGGAGGCAGCAGUAGGGAAUCUUCCGCAAUGGGCGAAAGCCUGACGGAGCAACGCCGCGUGAGUGAAGAAGGUCUUCGGAUCGUAAAACUCUGUUAUUAGGGAAGAACAAAUGUGUAAGUAACUAUGCACGUCUUGACGGUACCCAAUCAGAAAGCCACGGCUAACUACGUG
rnacentral:rRNA from 1 species